GCGGCGGACGGGUGAGUAAUGCCUAGGAAUCUGCCUAGUAGUGGGGGAUAACUUGCCGAAAGGUAAGCUAAUACCGCAUACGUCCUACGGGAGAAAGCAGGGGACUCUUCGGAGCCUUGCGCUAUUAGAUGAGCCUAGGUCGGAUUAGUUAGUUGGUGAGGUAAUGGCUCACCAAGACCGCGAUCCGUAACUGGUCUGAGAGGAUGAUCAGUCACACUGGAACUGAGACACGGUCCAGACUCCUACGGGAGGCAGCAGUGGGGAAUAUUGGACAAUGGGGGCAACCCUGAUCCAGCCAUGCCGCGUGUGUGAAGAAGGUCUUAGGAUUGUAAAGCACUUUAAGUUGGGAGGAAGGGCAGUUAACUAAUACUUGACUGUUUUGACGUUACCGACAGAAUAAGCACCGGCUAACUUCGUGCCAGCAGCCGCAGUAAUACGAAGGGUGCAAGCGUUAAUCGGAAUUACUGGGCGUAAAGCGCGCGUAGGUGGUUCGUUAAGUUAGGAGUGAAAGCCCCGG
rnacentral:rRNA from 1 species